rnacentral:rRNA from 1 species
UUUUUAGGCUUGCUUGCGUCGCUCCCAACCCCUGUGACAUACCUAUACGUUGCCUCGGCGGAUCAGCCCGCGCCCCGUAAAAAGGGACGGCCCGCCCGAGGACCCCUAAACUCUGUUUUUAGUGGAACUUCUGAGUAAAACAAACAAAUAAAUCAAAACUUUCAACAACGGAUCUCUUGGUUCUGGCAUCGAUGAAGAACGCAGCAAAAUGCGAUAAGUAAUGUGAAUUGCAGAAUUCAGUGAAUCAUCGAAUCUUUGAACGCACAUUGCGCCCGCCAGUAUUCUGGCGGGCAUGCCUGUUCGAGCGUCAUUUCAACCCUCAAGCUCAGCUUGGUGUUGGGACUCGCGGUAACCCGCGUUCCCCAAAUCGAUUGGCGGUCACGUCGAGCUUCCAUAGCGUAGUAAUCAUACACCUCGUUACUGGUAAUCGUCGCGGCCACGCCGUAAAACCCCAACUUCUGAAUGUUGACCUCGGAUCAGGUAGGAAUACCCGCUGAACUUAAGCAUAUCCAUAAGCGGAGGGAAAGAUCAUAACCGGUAUAAAUCCCAAACCGGGGGAAAU